rnacentral:sRNA from 1 species
UAGUAGAUGCACCCUGAUUAAACUUUUGACCUCAGUCCUUUAUGGGCUGGGGUUUUCUGU